rnacentral:rRNA from 1 species
UACGAAGGGGGCUAGCGUUGUUCGGAAUUACUGGGCGUAAAGCGCACGUAGGCGGACUGUUAAGUCAGGGGUGAAAUCCUGGAGCUCAACUCCAGAACUGCCUUUGAUACUGAUGGUCUCGAGUCCGGAAGAGGUGAGUGGAAUUCCGAGUGUAGAGGUGAAAAUUCGUAGAUAUUCGGAGGAACACCAGUGGCGAAGGCGGCUCACUGGUCCGGUACUGACGCUGAGGUGCGAAAGCGUGGGGGAGCAAACAGG